CUCGUAGGUGGCCAACUAAGUCAGACGUGAAAUCCCCAGGCUCAACUUGGGAACUGCGUCUGAUACUGGAUGGCUUGAAUUCGGGAGAGGGAUGCAGAAUUCCAGGUGUAGCGGUGAAAUGCGUAGAUAUCUGGAGGAAUGCCGGUGGCGAAGGCGGCAUCCUGGACCGAGAUUGACACUGAUGAGCGAAAGCCAGGGGAGCAAACG
rnacentral:rRNA from 1 species